ACCUCUUCCACUUGCAGCCUCCAACAUUUAAGGUCCAGAAAAUUCUGAUUCAGAGGCUGUACUCCUAACUGCCGUGUUCAAUAGCUACUGAUCCCGUUUCAUAGAUUUAGGGUCGGAA